rnacentral:tRNA from 33 species
GCGGGCGUUGUGUAAUGGUAAGACCUCAGCCUUCCAAGCUGAUGAUGCGGGUUCGAUUCCCGCCGCCCGCUCCA